AUACGUAGAGAGCAAGCGUUGUCCGGAAUCAUUGGGCGUAAAGGGUACGCAGGCGGUCUAUUAAGUCAGAGGUGAAAUCCAACAGCUCAACUGUUGAACUGCCUUUGAUACUGGUAGACUUGAGGAUAAGAGAAGAAAACGGAAUUCCUAGUGUAGCGGUGAAAUGCGUAGAUAUUAGGAAGAAUACCAAUGGCGAAAGCAGUUUUCUAACUUACUCCUGACGCUCAGGUACGAAAGCUAGGGUAGCAAACGGGAUUAGAUACCCCGGUAGUCCUAGCCGUAAACGAUGGAUACUAGGUGUUGGGGGUUCGACCCCCUCGGUGCCGCAGUUAACGCAUUAAGUAUCCCGCCUGGGGAUUACGACCGCAAGGUUGAA
rnacentral:rRNA from 1 species